UCAUUAAAGAAAAGAAUGCAAAGGAUCCAAGAGUUGAUGUCACAGUGGCCACAAAGUUUGCAGCAUUGCCAUGGAGGCUUGGUCGUCGAAGCGUGAUAUGAGUCCUUAAGGACUCCCUCGCUCGCCUCGGCCUUGCGUCGGUCGACCUGUAUCAACUUCAUUGGCUUGGAAUAUGGGGAAAUGAAGGUUCUUCUUCACUCCUCAACCUUGAAUUUUCUCCUUAAAGAAGAAGCUUAGUUCAUUAACAAUUGCUUUUAAAGGGUA